GCGGAUGUACCCAAGUGGAUCAGGGCAGU
rnacentral:tRNA from 1 species